AUACGAUGCAUUUGUUGCCAUAAGCAG
rnacentral:sRNA from 1 species